rnacentral:lncRNA from 1 species
UGGGCGGCGGAUAGGAAAAUGACAACUACGCCGGUUGGAAAGCAGCAAAGACACUUCGCGCCAGGUGUAAAAUAGGGCCCCCAGUGUUUCCUUAAGCAUAUUUAUCCUAUUUAGAUGAUUGGCAAAGCAAAAAUAACCCCAACUUUGGAUUACCAGCGUUAAAAGCAGAGAUGGAGCCUUGGAGCCUACUCAUGCCAGGCACUGCUCGUUGCACCAGGAGCAGGUUGAGCUAGCUUUGCUAAUGUAACAGUCACAUUAUGCCAACAUGUGGAUAUACACGUCAAGACAGAGAUACAUUCAGUGGGACUUCUAUUAUAACAUAAAAAAGUUGUCCACAUGGAGGAACCAGAGGGCAGCUGUAUCAAGACUUUCAGCAGGCCAGCCAUGUUAAAAGUGGUAUCAAAACGGGUUUUGAGAAUCGUGGAAAUUCGUUGGAAUUGCC